GAUUGUAAGUUUCCUGAGGCCUCCACAGCCAUACUUUCUGUACAGCCUGUGGAACUGUAAUGUCUAAUGAAACUACAGGGCACUGGAGCCUUAGACCCUGCCACUUUGUUGACACCUACUGGGCAACCAAAGGAACUAGUACACAACUGCCUAGUGGUUAUAGAUCAAGAGUCUUCCAGGCGACCAGAUCUGAAGGACACAGCCCUCCAGGGUGGAGACUGGAUGCUCUUUGUGGACAGAAGCAGCCUAGUCACCAACAGAAGGAGGAAUGCUGUCUAGGCUAUAGUGACUCUCUUGGAGGUAAUAGCUGCAAGAACUCUCCCAACAGGGACUUCUGUGCAAAAGGCUGAGUAAAUUGCCCUUAUGAGAGCCUUGCAUCUGUCCAAAGUGGGAAGAGUGCUGCAACCCAGCCCUAGCCAACGCCGCAUGAGAGGGAGUGUGCCGAGGGCUUCUGAGAAGGUUUCUCUCACAUCUAGAAAGAAGCGCUUAAGAUGUGGCAGCCCCUCUUCUUCAAGUGGCUCUUGUCCUGUUGCCCUGGGAGUUCUCAAAUUGCUGCAGCAGCCUCCACCCAGCCUGAGG
rnacentral:lncRNA from 1 species